AUUGAACGCUGGCGGCAGGCUUAACACAUGCAAGUCGAGAGAGCGGAGGACGGGUGAGUAAUGUCUGGGAAAAUGCCUGAGGGAGGGGGCUAACUACUGGACACGGUAGAUAAUACCGCAUACCAACAGAAGUGACCAGAUGGGAUUAGCUAGUAGGUGGGGUAAUGGCCCACUUAGGCGACGAUCCCUAGCUGUGCUGAGAGGAUGACCAGCCACACUGGAACUGAGACACGGUCCAGACUCCUACGUGAGGCAGCAGUGGGGAAUAUUGCACAAUGGGCGCAAGCCUGAUGCAGCCAUGCCGCGUGUGUGAAGAAGGCCUUCGGGUUGUAAAGCACUUUCAGCGAGGAGGCGUUACUCGCAGAAGAAGCACCGGCUAACUCCGUGCCAGCAGCCGCGGUAAUUC
rnacentral:rRNA from 1 species